rnacentral:lncRNA from 1 species
GGGGGGGGUUAUUACUUUUUAUUAAAGUGUUUUUUCGGUAAUCCAGGUAAUAUUUUCUUGUUUAAAUAGUUUCACAUGUUGUCAUGUCGGGGCCUCAUGUAACUUACCACAUGAUACAUCAUUGGAGGCCGAAUGAAUUAAAUCAUGGACGUUUAAAUUCAAACAAAUUUCUGGUGAGCGAAAAUAUUGCAUGUCGUUAAAUC